AGCCAGAAGUUAACAUUUUUGGUUUAACCUGCCCAAUGUAUAUAAAGGAUGAAUGGCCGCGGUACUCUGACCGUGCUAAGGUAGCGUAAUCAGUUGGCUUUUAAAUGGAGUCAGGAAUGAAUGGGAUAACCUGGUCUAGCUGUCUCCUUACUAUUUAAUCAAAUUUACUGACCAAGUGAAAAAGCUUGAAUUAGGAAAAGGGACGAGAAGACCCUUAGAAUUUUACUAAAAGUACGAAUCAGUUCUUAUUGUUGUUUUGUUGGGGUGACAAAGAAAAAUAUUAAAACUUUCUUUAAAAAUACCAGCCGAGUUCACUAAGUAAGAAUAAAUUACCUGAGGGAUAACAGCAUAAUUCUACAGUUGAGUUUGUGACCUCGAUGUUGGACUAGGAAGCUGGUGGGCUAGCCGUUUGCCGUGCAAGUUCUGUUCGAACUAUAA
rnacentral:rRNA from 1 species